UACAGAGGUCUCAAGCGUUGUUCGGAUUCAUUGGGCGUAAAGGGUGCGUAGGCGGCGCGGUAAGUCGGGUGUGAAAUCUUGGAGCUUAACUCCGAAACUGCAUUCGAUACUGCCGUGCUUGAGGACUGGAGAGGAGACUGGAAUUUACGGUGUAGCGGUGAAAUGCGUAGAUAUCGGGAGGAACACCCGUAGCGAAGGCGGCACUCUGGGCCGGUACUGACGCUGAGGAGCGAAAGCGUGGGGAGCAAACAGG
rnacentral:rRNA from 1 species